AAAACAUUUAGAGAGUGAGAAAGAGAGUUCUAGACAAAGAGAGAAACAAGAGGAAGAAGAAGAACAAAGGUGAUUAAACUAAAUCUUCACCAAUUAAACCAUUCAAGGUCAAGACUGGAAGACCGAACAACCGGAUUUGGAAGCCCACUGUGAGCAUUCUGGAGGACAAGCCUAGGAGGGGUCUUUAGCCGAGCCACCGUUUUGAAGCCUACCGAGUCGUUUUGGGUGCCUUCAAGUUGGGCUAGGCCUGGAAGGCCGUUGUUAAACUUUUGAUCUUGUUGUACACUUGUGUCACAUGCCUAUGUUUUGUAUAAGAUAUUAUGUUAUCGUUAUGUAUUGUAAGUGGAUAAAUUAACAUUUGCAUGUAAAUAUUUGUUCAUAUAGAUGCA